UUCAAUAUUAUUAAAAGUCAGCUAUUAGCGGUGCGACGUUUCGCGAUUCCGCGUAGUUCGCUAUACUUAUCGCAUAGCUCACUCCACGGGAUCUAUUCCGUUUAGGUCUCCGUAUCUGGAUCACUGCUGGAUCUAGCAUUAGAGGACGUUGAAUCCAGGCAAACUACCUGAGGCAAACUACAAUUUUUUGUACCUGAGUAGAUUGGCGAACGCGUCGGGAAUGAAAUCGGGAAUCUCGAUGGGAGCAUGGCGAAUUUCGGGCAGACUGCCAUAGAACAUGGUGCGGAACACGGAGUUGCGGAUACUCAGGAAAUGGCUACAAAUGCACCAAUAACAGAAUUAAAAUCUUGAAAACUCUUCCGACAAUGGACGGCCGGGUGGAGCGUUACUUGUGGGCUCUGAAGAUCUUCACAGGGCCAAAGUUGCCCCCAACGGCAAACUGCACAUCACUGAAAUCGCCGCUUGUUAAUGCCUGCUGCAUGCAGCUGACGACGGUGGACUUCAUUCCGUCCGGUUGGGGAAUGGCCGAUGAAGUAGUAUUUGUGGAGGCCAUUCCGAUGCCAACGGUGAAUGCAACAGUUUGAGCCUCGAGACUUGAGAGUCCCCGAUUAGCCGACGGCGCUGGAGUCGGAAUAUGGACAACACAAAAGAUACACAGUUUUAAAAGAUAAGUGUAAAUGGAAAUUGAGGAAUAGUUUAAAACGCACAAACAGGAAAGCAAAUUAAACAUGUAGAAUGUGACUUGUGCAAGUCUUAUUAAUUUUUAUACAAAGCAAAAAAAGCGGUUCUGAACGCCACAGCAGCGUUAGUAGUUAUUACUGUGUCUGCCUAUCUGGCUGACUCUGGCACCAUCGCUGAUUGGCCUGAGUUGAUAUUCAUUCAUUCAUGUAUCAGGAGCAGACAACCCGUUUAACAGGACUUCAAUAUCUGGUCGGUAAAAAAUGCAGCAAAAAAUUACAGAAGAGGUUAUUUAGACAGAUCAACAGUUUUCAGAGCAAACUUGAGAAAGUAUUACAGCGUGUACAUACUCCCAGGCUUUCAGAAAUUAUUCCUGCUUUCGAAUACAAUUGUGAUGGUUCUAUUAUGCCUAAUUAGUAAUUAACUAUAAAUUUUCAUUUCUUUUCCUGUCUUUCCUGCUACUAUCCGAGUGAGAAGCUACCGAUGAAACGGUCCAGCCAUGUCCACCUGUGACGGUGACGCCCGACUGCGGGUCCACCAAUACAGCUCCUUCGAACGGUCCAAAGAAGCAAGAGCUGGGCAGCUGCCGCAGCGCCGUGGAUUCUCGUGGCGCUAACCGGCUUCAAAUUCUGGACGCCUCGUUAUACGUCAUACAGUUUCCGCUCCAAUUACACUUAGCUAGGAUAACCCACCAUGUCCACGAAUUCAACUUCACCGAAAACUGCUCCUGGGAAGCAGCUGGGCAGCGGCCGAAUCACUGACUACAUGGAACGAACACUGGCGCAGGGAGAAUUCACUGAUGUGUGUUUCACAGUGGGACGUGAUUUUGGCGAAGUGCAGAACUUUUCCGCGCACAAACUCGUCUUGAGCCGCAGUGCAGUGUUUCGAGCGAUGUUCUAUGGAAGCUUGCCUGAAAAGUGUGAUGCAGCUAUCGGCAUUCCCGAUGUCCAUCCGGAAGCAUUUGCCAAUAUGCUCAGUUUCUUGUACACGGAUUCAUUUGAUCAGCUCAGUGCUGACAAUGUCUUCGCGACGAUGAGCUGCGCCGACAAGUACAUGCCGCAGCUGGUGCAAAUUUGCUCUAACUUCAUCGAACGCCGGUUGAAUGCUGACAAUUUUUUAUCCACGUGGAAAGAGGCACGGAUUUCUUCUUUAAUCACUACGCUGUUUCUUCGCAAGCCGACAGCAUCGUGGAGAAAUGCAUGGCUUUCCUGGAUGCUAACACUGCGAAGAUUGUGGAAUCGGGAGAGUUCCCUGAUAUCUCAUUGGAUACACUGCACAGUACCUGCAGCGCGACACGCUGUCGGCAGAAGAGCACGAUGUAUACUUGACUGUUGAACGCUGUCAUGGUAGGUGGGCAACGGCUGCCUGCGCUCGUCACGCUAUGGACGCUUCCGGCGCUAACCGGCGUCAGAUGUUGGGCACGGCGCUAUUUCUCGUCCGAUUUCCGCUGCUGACCAACACCGAACUCGCUGAUGGUCCCGGAAAGAGCGGUCUGCUGAUGGAGUCGGAGUUAUACUCCUUGUUCAUGUACCAGAAUUCUAACACGAAGCUAGAGGGACGGUUUCCCACGCAGCCACGCACGGGACAGCGGAGAAUCGUGUUUCCGGGUGCGGACAUAUUCGUGCUUCGGUCCUAUUACCUUCAGCCAGCUAGAAUAACCGGAGUGCAUCAGCAACACGUUGUCUUCACUUGGUACAGCAACGACGCAUUUCGCAAGGAGGGCACUACUCCGACGAAACUCGUGUUUCGUCCUCAGCAAGUCUUGAAAAGAGGUCGGAGCGUGCGCAUCCUUUCAUCGGGAGAAAAUGCCGAAUACGAAAGGGCCCUAAUGGGUGGACUGCACCGGAUAAAGGUGCGCGGGGAAUACAAGACUGUCGGAUUCACUGAUUUGAAGGUGCUUUACAGAGAGGGUAGAACAAGGAAUACCUUGGAUUGAGUCGAUGGCCAAACUUUUCUUGAACGGAUAAUAUGUGCAUCUGGUUGAUAAACUGCCCGAUGUUUUGGUUAUUGCAACGGGGACGUCAUUUGUAUUCUUUUUAUGGACAUUCGUAAUUUCUCAGCUUCGUUUCCAUUUUUCAUGUUACGUUACGAGGUUUCAGUAACAUGAUUCCAGCUCGAAUGCAACAUCAGGUCAAGAGCCAGCAAGAUUUACGCAACCGUUGCAUCCAUAUUGUUUUUCUUUAGAACUUGUUUUUACUUUUGUCCUCCGCCAUCUGAUGUCCGUCCUGCACUGUAUUUGUAACCCUGUCACAAUAAG